ACUCAAAGGAAUAGACGGGGGCUCACACAAGCGGUGGAGCAUGUGGCUUAAUUCGAGGCUACGCGAAGAACCUUAUCCUGGACUUGACAUGUUCGAAAGAGGCAGCAAGUAGAACGCGGAAACGUGAACGAACGGUAUCCAAUCCGGAAGCUGCUACAGGUGCUGCAUGGCUGUCGUCAGCUCGUGUCGUGAGAUGUCGGGUUAAGUCCCAUAACGAGCGAAACCCUUACUCUCAGUUGCCAGCGGGUAAUGCCGGGGACUCUGGGGGGACUGCCGGUGUCAAACCGGAGGAAGGUGGGGAUGACGUCAAGUCCUCAUGGCCUUUAUGUCCAGGGCUGCACACGUGCUACAAUGCCGCGAACAAAGGGACGCAAACCCGCGAGGGGGAGCUAAUCCCAAAAAACGCGGCCCAGUUCAGAUCGAAGGCUGCAACUCGCCUUCGUGAAGUUGGAAUCGCUAGUAAUCGCAGGUCAGCAACACUGCGGUGAAUGUGUUCCUGAGCCUUGCACACACCGCCCGU
rnacentral:rRNA from 1 species